rnacentral:rRNA from 1 species
UACAGAGGUCCCAAGCGUUGUUCGGAUUCAUUGGGCGUAAAGGGUGCGUAGGCGGCGUCGUAAGUCGGGUGUGAAAUCUCGGGGCUUAACUCCGAAACUGCAUUCGAUACUGCGGUGCUUGAGGACUGGAGAGGAGACUGGAAUUUACGGUGUAGCGGUGAAAUGCGUAGAUAUCAGGAGGAACACCGGUGGUGUAGACGGCUUUCUGGACCGUAACUGACGCUGAGACACGAAAGCGUGGGUAGCAAACAGG